GGUAAAUUGUAUUUAAGGGUAGACGGUGGAUGCCUUGGGAUAUCGAGGCGAUGAAGGACGUGGGGAGUCUGCGAUAAGUCUCGGGGAGGUGACUCUCAACCUUUGAUCCGGGAAUUUCCGAAUGGGGAAACCCGUCCCGACGAAAAAUCGGGACAGCCCGACCCGUAAGGGUUUAGGGCAGCGAACCUGGGGAAGCGAAACAUCAUAGUACCCAGAGGAAAAGAAAACAAAAAAUAAAUUGCCUUAGUAGCGGCGAGCGAAAAGGCAACAGCCUAAACCCUUCGAUUCGACACUGCGUGUCUCACUCAGGGCGAGCCAUCAUUUUGAAGGUGGCUUGCCCCGAGCGAGGUACGUAGUACCGAGUCGAGGGGGGUUGCAAGGGAGUGUCGUCCCCCGACGUUACGUCGGGGGAGGGAGAACAUUUAGGUGAAGCUUCGUUAGUUGAAUGUCCCUGGAAAGGGCAACCAUAGAGGGUAAUAGUCCCGUAAGCGAAAACGGCUUUAUGCUCCUUGAUACUUUUCUUAAGUACUUCGAGGAAUGAAAACCUUGAAGGAAUCCGGCUGAACUAUUCAGCCAAGGCUAAAUACUACGAUAUCUCCGAUAGUGAACCAGUACCGUGAGGGAAAGGUGAAAAGCAGCCCGUUGAGGGCGAUGAAAUAGAACCUGAAACCGUUAUACCCACAAAGAGACGGAGCCCUGAGAGCAAUCGAAGGGUGACGUCGUGCUUUUUGCAGAACGAGCCAACGAGUUUAUGUGCAUUCCAAGUCUAAUCCCCUUACAGGGAGAAGGCAAAGUGAAAGCAAGGGUUAAUAGCCCGUUAAGGAGUGCGCGUAAGACCCGAAGCCAAGCGAGCUUACCAUGACCAGGAUGAAGACUGACGAAAGUCGGUCGGAGGUCCGAACCAGUGAGCCGUGCAAUACUCUUGGAUGAGUUGUGGUAAGAAGAGAAAACCUAAACGAGCUUGGUAAUAGCUGGUUCUCCCCGAAAUAGCUUUAGGGCUAGCGUCCCGUCAAAACCUCUGCAGGUAGAGCACUGGAUGAUAUACCGUGGCUUUUCGCCAGGUAAAUCAACCAAACUCCGAAUGGCAGAGAAUUCUACGGGGCAGUAAGACUUCGAGGACUAAGCUUCGAGGUCAUGAGGGAAACAGCCCAGAUCUUAAUCUAAGGUCCCUAAACUGAACUAAGUGUUUUUAAGGAAGUAGAAUUGCUUUGAUAGUUAGGAGGUUAGCUUAGAAGCAGCUAUCCUUUAAAAAGUGCGUAAUAGCUUACUAACUAAGGAAUUCUGCGUCGAAGAUUCACGGGACUAAGUUCAGUACCGAAGAUAAGACUGAGCACAUAAUUUUUUAUGUGCUCGGGGUAGGGGAGCGUCCUUAAUGCUGUGAAGCCGGAGGGUGACCAACGGUGGAGCGUUAAGGAGUGAGAAUGUUGGUUUGAGUAACCACAAUCCCGCUGAAAGCGCGGGACACCGAAAGCCUAAGGUUUCCUUGGCAAUGGUAAUCAGCCAAGGGUUAGGCGGAUCUAACUGAGCACCCAUUGGGUGUUCGGGAUGUACAGCAGGUUAAUAUUCCUGCCCCUUCGUUUAUUUUUGAAAAGCGACGAAGUCUAGAAGUCCGGAGAGUUAUUGGAUUCUUAUCCCCUUUGGGGAGUUCCGGAUAGAUAGGCUUCCAAGAAAAGCUUGUAGAGUCAAAUAGGCGGAGUCCGUACCGUAAACCGACACAGGUAGGCAGGCGUAAAUGCGCCAAGGUGAACGGGUGAAAUCUCCUAAAGGAACUCGGCAAAUUAGUGGUCGUAAGUUCGCGAUAAGACCUGCCUCAGCCCGCAAGGGUUUGAGGCUGCAACAAAAGUAUCCCAAGCGACUGUUUAUCAAAAACACAGGUCCCUGCUAAACUCGCAAGAGGAUGUAUAGGGGCUGAAACCUGACCAGUGCUGGAACGUUAAACUCGCCGGUCCAUGCCGCAAGGUGUGGGCUGAGGGAGCUAAGCGCCAGUGAACGUCCGCGGUAACUAUAACCGUGUUAAAGUAGCGUAACCCCUUGCCAGGUAAGUUCUGGCCCGCAUGAAAGGUUUAACGACUUGGGGACUGUCUCUAGGAGUUGCCCGGUGAAAAUGCAAUACCGGUAAAGAUGCCGGUUACCUGCGGCUAGACGGAAAGACCCCGGGAGCUUUACUGUAGCUAGGUAUUGAAUUUUGGUUUUGAAUGCGUAGCGUAGCGGGUAGGAUUUGAAGUGCCGCUUUCGGGCGGCAUGGAUCCGCCAAUGAAACACCCGUCUUUUGAAGCUAAUAUUCUAACCCCCGCAAGGGGAAACAGUGCCUGGUGGGCAGUUUAAGUGGGGCGCUUGCCUCCUAAAGAGUAACGGAGGCGUUUAUAAGGUCGGCUAGGUCCGGAUGGAAAUCGGACUGGUCGUGUAAAGGCAUAAGCCGGCUUUACUGCGAGCAGGGUAUUGCGAGCAGUUGCGAAAGCAGAACUUAGUGAACCGACCUUGGUUCAUAGGACCGAGGAAGAUCAUCAACCAAAAGUUACCCCGGGGAUAACAGGCUAGUAGAGCCCGCGAGUCCACAUCAACGGCUCUGUUCGGCACCUCGAUGUCGGCUCAUCUCAUCCUGGCGGUGGAGAAGCUGCCAAGGGUCCGGCUGUUCGCCGGUUAAAGAGGUACGUGAGCUGGGUUCAAACCGUCAACCAAAACUUGUUUCUGUUAGCAAGUUUGGCGGCUUCUGAUAGUAAUAUCAGAAUGAAAAAUCGACUUAUAUCGGUGAAGUCCUAUUAUGUUUAAUUUUAACCUGUCAUAUAUUAGGAUAAUACCGAGGGAAGUUGUAAAUUUCGCAAAAAAAGAAAUUUAUUAACCCCGUAGAGACUUUCCGCUGUAGAAGCGGAAGAUGUGGGAUAAAAUCCUGCAUAAUACGUCGAUCUUCCAUUAAAAUAUUUAAAAAGUUUUAGUGGAAAGUGAUAUAGUCCAUACACUUAGUAAUAAGUGAUAAAUAUGCGUGAGACAGGUUGGUCCCUAUCUACCGCAGGCGUUGAAUCUUGAGGGGAGUCCUCGACAGUACGAGAGGACCUCGAGGAACUAACCUCUGGUGUACCAGCUGUUCCGCCCGGAGCAUUGCUGGGUAGCUAAGUUAGGAUGUGAUAAGAGCUGAAAGCAUCUAAGCUCGAAGCCAACCCCAAGAUUAAGAUUCUUUUAGACCCCCUGGAGAUUACAGGGUCGAUAGGCUCUAGGUGUAAGCCCAGUAAUGGGUUAAGCCAAGGAGUACUAAUAGGUCAAAUUUAUUUAUCCU
rnacentral:rRNA from 1 species